rnacentral:snoRNA from 1 species
ACGACGUCUCUGUCUAACGGGGUGCGACGCUGCUCUGUCGGCGCACCUCGAUUUCAGGAGAUGGAGAUGA